UACGAAGGGGGCUAGCGUUGCUCGGAAUCACUGGGCGUAAAGCGUGCGUAGACGGUUGCAUAAGUCAGAUGUGAAAGCCCCGGGCUUAACCUGGGAAUGGCAUUUGGGACUGCAAGGCUCGAGUGCGGCAGAGGAGACUGGAAUUCCUGGUGUAGCAGUGAAAUGCGUAGAUAUCAGGAGGAACACCGAUGGCGAAGGCAGGUCUCUGGGCUGACACUGACGCUCAUGCACGAAAGCGUGGGGAGCAAACAGG
rnacentral:rRNA from 1 species